GACGAACGCUGGCGGCGUGCUUAACACAUGCAAGUCGAACGAGAAAGCACCUUCGGGUGUGAGUACAGUGGCGAACGGGUGAGUAACACGUGGGCAACCUGCCCUGGAGACUGGGAUAACGUCCCGAAAGGGACGCUAAUACCGGAUGAUGCGCGACCUGCCAAGUAGGUCGCGCCAAAUGGUAGCUUCGGCUUCUACUCUGGGAUGGGCCCGCGCCGGAUUAGCUUGUUGGUGGGGUAAUGGCCUACCAAGGCGACGAUCCGUAGCUGGUCUGGAAGGACGAUCAGCCACACUGGGACGGAGACACGGCCCAGACUCCUACGGGAGGCAGCAGUGGGGAAUCUUGCGCAAUGGGCGAAAGCCUGACGCAGCAACGCCGCGUGUCUGAAGAAGGCCUUCGGGUUGUAAAGGACUUUUGUCAGGGAGGAAAUCCCUAGUGCUAAUAACACUGGGGGAUGACAGUACCUGAAGAAUAAGCACCGGCUAACUACGUGCCAGCAGCCGCGGUAACAC
rnacentral:rRNA from 1 species